rnacentral:rRNA from 1 species
AGUCGAGCGGUAGAGAGAAGCUUGCUUCUCUUGAGAGCGGCGGACGGGUGAGUAAUGCCUAGGAAUCUGCCUGGUAGUGGGGGAUAACGUUCGGAAACGGACGCUAAUACCGCAUACGUCCUACGGGAGAAAGCAGGGGACCUUCGGGCCUUGCGCUAUCAGAUGAGCCUAGGUCGGAUUAGCUAGUUGGUGGGGUAAUGGCUCACCAAGGCGACGAUCCGUAACUGGUCUGAGAGGAUGAUCAGUCACACUGGAACUGAGACACGGUCCAGACUCCUACGGGAGGCAGCAGUGGGGAAUAUUGGACAAUGGGCGAAAGCCUGAUCCAGCCAUGCCGCGUGUGUGAAGAAGGUCUUCGGAUUGUAAAGCACUUUAAGUUGGGAGGAAGGGUUGUAGAUUAAUACUCUGCAAUUUUGACGUUACCGACAGAAUAAGCACCGGCUAACUCUGUGCCAGCAGCCGCGGUAAUACAGAGGGUGCAAGCGUUAAUCGGAAUUACUGGGCGUAAAGCGCGCGUAGGUGGUUUGUUAAGUUGGAUGUGAAAUCCCCGGGCUCAACCUGGGAACUGCAUUCAAAACUGACUGACUAGAGUAUGGUAGAGGGUGGUGGAAUUUCCUGUGUAGCGGUGAAAUGCGUAGAUAUAGGAAGGAACACCAGUGGCGAAGGCGACC